rnacentral:lncRNA from 1 species
AUGGCUUUUGGUCGGAAAGGUCACAUCUGCUAUUUAAAUCCCACCGUAACCAUGAAUGUUGGCGAUGCCGCCACAUCGGUUGCAACGAAAGGGCAAACACACACCCCAGGAGCAUCUAGCAUCUCUGGUUCCUUCCAUAAACGAAGGUUUACCAGCACAGGGCGUGGGGGGGAGAGCAAGGCUGGAGAAGAAGCCAGGAGAGGCCCGCAGCCCUGGAGACAGCGCCCGAGGGAUGGAGGCCUCGCUCGGCUGCGCCGGGGCGCGGGGGGCUCCGGGAGCGGCGACCCGGGGAGUCUGGCGGAGGGGCCGGGCCAGACCCCCCUUCCCGGGCCGCCGGGUUACGCCCCCGCUGCUUCCUCGAGGCAGCCGCCAGCCCUGUCCUCCACAUCCCCGAAAUGCCCCGGCAUCGCUCCGCACCACCAGGCGCCCGGGACCCCGACCCCGACCCGGUGUGACCGCGACGGCGCCCUCUCCAGGCCGCGGUGGAGGACACAGGCAGGCCGGCAGCCCCGGUCGCAGCGCGGUCCCGGGGGAGGUGGGCCACUGGGCCGCGGCCUGGCCCAGGGGCGGCGGGCGCAGGGCCGCGAGCGGGCAGCGCCUCGGGCCGCACGAACAAAGCGGCCGGCGCCGGGAGGGGCGGGGCGGGGCCGGCGGGGGCAGCGGCACUCACCGGAGGGCGGCCGGGCCGCCUGGCCGCAGCGGGGACCGCGGCGGGCCGGGCUCCGCGCCGAGGGCGCGCCGGCGACGGGCAGGGGGCGGCNNNNNNNNNNNNNNNNNNNNGGUGCGGGAAGCGGGCCGCCGCGGCGGGAGCGCGCUAGGCGGCCGGGGCCGCGAUGCCGCCGCCUUUCCCUUCUCCCGCCCCGGGCCCUGCUCCCCCGCGGCCUCCUCCUCGCUGGGUCCCCGCCGCCGCCGCCGCCUCAGCCUCGGCUCUUCUCGGGCUUCUCCUCGCCAUCAAGGCCGGGCCGACCCGCAGGGACCAUCCUGGAAAACGCACACAGCCGGCUUCCUUCCCCUCGCCCUGCGCUCAGCUGCUCUCGUUUCCCUCCCCCAGCCCACGGCCCCUCUUCCGCGGUUCUCACCUCAGUUCCAAUUUCUCAAAAGACUCAGCUGAGAAAGGACAACUGGGUUCUGCUCUUCUUAACCCUACACCCAUUUGCGGGAUGCUGUCAGACCGCGAUGGAGGCUCGGAAUACUGCGUUAAUUUUACUCCAGCUGGAGUACAAAAGGACUGCCCACACCAGCUAUUCUACUACGCAGCUUUGAAAGUCCUGAUGGUAUCGUGUUUGGCUCCGCUCCAUCAUUGGACCGAGGAGUUGAAGAGCCCAGUCUCAAAUGUUGCCUUCCCUCAGUGACCUUGAGCCGGUCGCCUUCAGCUUUUAGGGGUUUCCUCCCUUCUUGUAAAGGGCAUUGUUUAUACCUUUGCAAUCCUAACAAACAGUGUUUAGGCCAAAUUAGCACGCCCUGGCAACACCAAAACUGCUAAAUGGUCAUCAGUUUGCCCCUCAGUUGUUUGUUCCUCAUCAACCCAGUGGACCAUUUGGGGCAUGCUUCAGUUCUGGCGGUGGAGACAACCUGAGUCAGCAAUCAGGAGUGGACUCCCUUAAACAGGCUUGGAGAGGGGAAGUGGUAAUAUCAUUGUUCUAACGACAAACUUCUUUUUCCUAACACUGCAAUCUCCAGGAGCUUGUGAAUUUCCUCUAAUAAAGAUGAAGCAAGCUGGACUUGCUGUUUGCUU